rnacentral:lncRNA from 1 species
AUGUUUGUUAUCCCGUAACAACGCACGGGUAUUUAGCUAGUAAUCCAAAUUGUGUAGAAUAGUAAAAGCAUGCAACAAUCAGUACAUUAACAGGCAUGGAGAGAAGUAUUUAUCAGUGUUAUGAAUCAUAUCAACAGCAUCAAAGCAACAUCAUAGAAGAAACAAUGUGGAUUAUUAAUUCACCUGCUCACUAAAACAAAGGUGUACGUGCUUCCCCCAACAGGUCCACCUCCUCAAGUAUUUGAGCUGGACGUGAAAGCCACCAUUAGCAAGCUACUACCUCCACCUAAAUAACCUGACCAUCAGAUUCCUGAAAACUGUGAAAUUGCAACAAAAAACUUCGAUUAGUAACUCAUUAAAACUGCCGUACAGAGACUUAUUAAGACUGGAUCACUCCUUAAAUAUUGUAACUCUUGCAGACUAUUUAAUACGGGGUCUGCAUAUAUGAAGUAGUUCUUAUCAACAUCAAAAAAUUGAAAGGAUUACCGACUCAUCUAUCAAGGAUUGAUGAGUUAGCAGCGUAUAUAAGAAUUUUUUAAAAUUUCGAUGCUCCAUUGAUAUCUAAUAAUUACUAAUUUAAUAGAAUAGCAAUCAGUGCAUGAAUGUAAAACAGAGAUUGGAAGUCAGUCUGCACGGCAUGCCUAUCAAGUGUUCGUCGCACAAGGGCCAAACUUUUUUGACAGGGAUUAGCUGCAAUAGAAUCGGGGGUGCAUACUGUUAGAAGGGAAAGAGGGAUUGGUGUAAUGUGGCGGAAUAUGAUGAAUGUAUUAUUGAGCCUCGAGGGCGAGAAUAUAUUAAGUACAAGACUUGGAGGGCAAGAAGCCUCUCCUGGAGAUAAGGUAGGGGACGGAUUACAAAUCCUAGACUACCAAAUACAAGUAUCCCAAAUAUAUCUCUAACAUCCCCCCGCAGUCGUAGCGGUAGCGUUGCGAACAACAGGAGCGUCGCGGACGAUCAGCCUGGAGAGAAUAGUAGCCGACGGACUGACAUCCCCCCGCAGUCCUAGCGGGAGCGUCGUGGACGGUGUCGCGUCACGGACGCGUUGACUGUAGAGGAAGCCGACGAGUUUCUCAAGCGGAUGAUAGCCCUUUGUGCCGAUGUCGAUGUAGCCGAGAGCGUAGGGUGGUGUAGCCGUGCGAAGAACGUCGUGGUCGAUGUCGAGUCGGGUAGCCAGUGUCGAGGGAGUUGCCAUGGAGCCGCGGGCGCAAGGUGGCGCCGAGUUAGUCAUGGGCGCAGUGGUGUCGAAGAAGUGAUGCGCCCGGAAGGAGAAUGGUGUUGACGACGUGUUGCACCGGGGUUGCCAACCCCGGGGACACAUCGUAGACGAAGGCACGCGCCGGUGUUGCCAGCACCGGGCAUGCGUAGACGGACGAAGAGGAAGUUGACGAAGCGCCGACCAGGCUUGCCAGGCCCGGGGACACGUCGUGGACGAAGGCACGCGGCGGUGUUGCCAGCACCGGGCAUGCGUAGACUGGGACCUGCACGAGCUAUACGCCAUAUCGAAGAAGUCGGAGAGGCCAGCAGAGAAGAACUCGACGAUGAUUGCGGCGUCCAUCGGCGCGGGGCCGAUGUCACCAACGGUGGUCGGAGUAGAUGAAGUGGUCGGGGUAGAUGACGGCGACGCUGACGACAGGCUCGUGCUGGACGAAGACGAACGGGGUGGACGGGCGGCGGCGGCGGCUAGGUUAGGAGUGCGGCGGCGGUGCUCGAAGUAGGCGAAGAACCCGACAGCGUGACAAAGACCGGCGCGGACGGUGGCGUUCCCGCGCCAAAGGGAGACGGCACGGCGCAUACCACGAGAGGUCGACGCGCGGUGACGGCAGAGUGGACCGCGGGCCGCGGCGCUACGGCCUGCAGGGGCGACGCAGCGGCUGCGGGCAGGUCAGGGCAACGGCGGGAAGACCUCGGGGCAGCGGCGGGAACCGCGGGCCGUCGCGCUACAGCCCGAAGGGGCCGGCGCAGCGGCGGAGCGUGGGUCGGUGCAACCGCGAGGACGGCCUCGGGGCGGCGGCGGGAACCGCGUAUCGCGACACUACGGCCUGAUGGGGCGAUGCAGCGGCAACGCACGAGUCGAUGCAGCCGCGAGGAGAACCACGGGGCGGCGGCGCUGCGGCCCGACGGGGCGACGCAGCGGUAGCCCGAUGCUCAAUCGAUGGAGAGGCACGCUGAAUGUAACGCCCCAGAUAUUACUUUCCCAAUUUGUACUCCAACUCUUGCCGUUUCCGGCGUUAAGUUAUAUUUAUUUCUCGGGUUCGGGUCUUUGUCUCCGUGUGUUGCUUUCGUUUUCAUGCAUCUCAUAUCAUGUCAUCACGUGCAUUGCAUUUGCAUACAUGUUCAUCUCAUGCAUUGGAGCAUUUUCCCCGUUGUCCGUUUUGCAUUCUGGCGCUUUGUUCUCCUUCGGUGGCCAUUUCUAGCUUUCUUUCGUGUGUGGGGAUUAAACAUUUACGGAUUGGACCGGGACUUGCCAUGCGGCCUUGGUUUACUACCGGUAGACCGUCUGUCAAGUUUCGGGUCAUUUGGACUUCGUUUGAUACUCCAACGGUUAACCGAGGGACCGAAAAGGCCUCGUGUGUGUUGCAGCCCAACACCCCUCCUAUUUGGCCCAAAACCCACCAAACUCUGCUCCAUGUCCUAGAGCGUUCGAUCACGACCGCGUGGCCGAAAACCGCACCUCAUUUNNNNNNNNNNNNNNNNNNNNNNNNNNNNNNNNNNNNNNNNNNNNNNNNNNNNNNNNNNNNNNNNNNNNNNNNNNNNNNNNNNNNNNNNNNNNNNNNNNNNNNNNNNNNNNNNNNNNNNNNNNNNNNNNNNNNNNNNNNNNNNNNNNNNNNNNNNNNNNNNNNNNNNNNNNNNNNNNNNNNNNNNNNNNNNNNNNNNNNNNNNNNNNNNNNNNNNNNNNNNNNNNNNNNNNNNNNNNNNNNNNNNNNNNNNNNNNNNNNNNNNNNNNNNNNNNNNNNNNNNNNNNNNNNNNNNNNNNNNNNNNNNNNNNNNNNNNNGGCCCAUCUCCGCGCGCCGCCGCCGUGCUCUUCUCCUCCGGCGACAAUCCGCAGCGCUGCCGCUCCCCUCGCCGGCCAGCACCGCCGCGGCCGCGCCGGACCUCGCCACCAACGCUGCCCGCCGCCGCGACCACGCCCCAACGCCGGCGGAGCUCGCUGCGGGGACCGUCCGGUGCCCACGCCCAUCUUCAGCGAGGCCCCCGUCCCCAUCGCCCGGAGCCCCGGCGCUCUACCCCGCCGGCGACGAGCUCUCCUCCGUCGACCUUCGCGCUGCUACAGUGCCCCGCCGAUCUGCUACAGUGCUCUGCUACAGUGCCCGAAACCCUAGAUCUGGGUUGACUUUCCCUCUUCUCCCUCGUAUUUUGUGCUAACUUUGACUGUUCAUAUCUCCGCAUCCGUAGCUCCGUUUUGGACAUAUAAUAUAUCAAAAUCUUCGCCUCGACAUGUACAUCAUUUCAUUCCAUUGCAUCAUUUUCAUUUGAGUUCAUCUUGAUGCCCAAAAUGCUGUUAGAAGGAGGCUUCGUGAGUUAAAUUACAGAUCCGUUAGUUCAUCAUAGACUUUUGUCAUUUUUGCCAUGAUUAUUGUGUGCAUGAUAUGCCCGUGAGUCUUUGGGAUGAAUUGUUAAGCAUUUUGUCUUAUUUCCAGAGGUGCCACCCAUGCAUUCUUAGGAUGUGUGUGGUGACUUGUGCAAGCUUGCAAAGAGAGGCACCUGAGAAUUCUCUUUUCAGGGACUUAGUGGAUUUCACUAAGUCUGGGAUAUUUUAGUUCAUGAUGCCAUGUGUUCAGCUUGUUUCCUAGUGAUCGGUGCCUCUUUUGAGGAUGAUCAGUAAGGGAGUUUUGAUAUUCAUGUUAUGCUCUAUCCAUCCAUGUCUUUGUUUGCAUAUGUGGAGUGCUCUAGCUUGAGUCAAUCGAGCUCUACUUUUGCUUCGUGGUAAAUCUGGGCAGAUCGUCAACUUGUUUGCGAUUUUGCCGAUGCUAUUGUUAUUGAUCCAUGCAUGCUAUGCCAUUGUUCUUGCCACGUCUAGCUAGAAUUUUGUGUCUUCUUUAUGGAUAUAUGCUUGCCUUGCCAUGACUUGCCCCGUAGUGAGUGCAUCGAGCUCGUUUACGUGCCUUCAUGAGUCAUAAUUUCAGCAUGUCUCAGUUUUCACUAAGUCUGAAAACUGAUUGUCCGUGAGCUAUGUUCGUGUGCUCGAUAGAGUAUUUUGUGAACCCUUUUGGCCCCAGGUCACAUUGGGUGUUUUGUUAAGCUUGUUGAGCAGCUCCAUGCCGUGUUCUUAGUUGUCAUAAUGAGGUUGUGUAUCAUGUUGUUUUGCUGCUCCGAAGAGAGCAUCGUGGUCUGAAAUUUCAGACUAGUGUUAAUUUCACUAAGUCUGAAAUCUGUUUUGCAUUUGCAUUUUUGCCAUGCUUGUUUGAACCUCAUAAUGGAUGAAUUUGGCCGUGGCUCAGUGCUAGUGUUUUGAUAAGCAUCUUGUGUACAUCCCUGCCAUGUAUUUUUUGUCAUGUUUGGUGGCUGUAGCAUGUUCAUUUCGAUGCAUUUAGGAGCCUACUUGCUGUAAAUCACAAACCGGUUCAUUUCGUAAAACGUUUGCCAUUUCCAAACCGUAGCUCCGAUUCCUAUGAUCUUUAUAUCGUUUUCAGGUGAUUUCGUCCCCUCUAUCCAGUGGCACACUUGGUUUUCCAAGUUGAGGCCAGGUUCAUGCAUUUCCUGUCACGUCUUGCAUAUUGCAUCCCGCAUCGCAUCCCGCAUAGCAUACCAUCAUUGCAUCUUAUUGCUUGAGUUUGCACGUGGUUGAUUGUAUCCUUGUUGCUUGUUUGUGUUGUUGGGUAGAGCCGGGAGACGAGUUCGCUAACGAGGAGCCCGUUGAGUUCGCUUGUGAGGAUCCAGUCAACUCUGACAACUGUGCAGGCAAGAUGAUCAUACCCUCGAAAUCACUACUAUCUUUGCUAUGCUAGUUUGCUCGCUCUUUUGCUAUGCCAAUGCAACGAUGCCUACCACUUCCUUGUCAGCCUCCCAAUUGCCAUGUUGAACCUCUAACCCACCAUUGUCCUAGCAAACCAUUGAUUGGCUAUGUUACCGCUUGGCUCAGCCCCCUUCUUAUAGCGUUGCUAGUUGCAGGUGAAGAUUGGAGCCGUUCCUUGUUGGAACAUUUAUUUACUUGUUGGGAUAUCAUUAUAUUGCCAUGUUAUCUUAAUGCAUCUAUAUACUUGGUAAAGGGUGGAAGGCUCGGCCUCUCGCCUAGUGUUUUGUUCCACUCUUGCCGCCCUAGUUUCCGUCAUAUCGGUGUUAUGUUCCCGGAUUGUUGCGUCCCUUACGCGGUUGGGCUAUAAUGGGAACCCUUUGAUAGUUCGCCUUGAUUAAAGCUUUUCCAGCAAUGCCCAACAUUGGUUUUACAUUUGCCACCUAGCCUCUUUUUCCCUUGGGUUUCCGGAGCCCGAGGGUCAUCUUAUUUUAACCCCCCCUCCCACCCGGGCCAGUGCUCCUCUGAGUGUUGGUCUGACCGAGUAGACUGCGGGGCCACCUCAGGGCAACUUGAGGGUUGGUUUUACUGGUAGGAUGUCUCAUCUGAGUGUGCCCUGAGAACGAGCUAUGUGCAGCUCCUAUCGGGAUUUGUCGGCACAUUCGGGCGGUGUUGCUGGACUUGAUUUAACCUGUCGAAUCGUCUUGUUGUACCGAGAUACCGAGUCUGAUCGGUGUGUCUUGGGUGGAGGUCUAUUCCUUCGUUGACCGUGAGAGCUUGUUAUGGGCUAAGUUGGGACCCCCUGCAGGGAUUGAUCUUUCGAAAGUCGUGCCCGCGAUUAUGGGCAGAUGGGAAUUUGUUAAUGUCUGGUUGUAGAUAACUUGAACCGUAAUUAAUUAAAAUGAAUCAACUGAGUGUGUUGCCGUGAUGGCCUCUUCUCGGCGGAGUCCGAGAAGCGGACACGGUGUUGGAGUUAUGUUUGCGCAGGUUGCUCUCUAGUUUCUCGCCCGUGCUUUGCCUCCUCUUCUCGGUAUCUUUUGCGAAUAAGUUAGCCACCAUAUAUGCUAGUCGCUUGCUGCAGCUCCACUUACAUUACCCCCUUUCCUACCUAUUAAGCUUAAAUAGUCCUAAUCGCGAGGGUGCGAGAUUGCUGAGUCCCUGUGGCUCACAGAUUACUAUUACACCAGAUGCAGGGACAGAUGAUACAACUCCAGAUGGCGCGCUUGUGCUCAAGUGGGAGUACGACGAGGAUUCUUGGCGUUACUAUGUGUCUUUUCCUGAUGAUCAGUAGUGGUGCCCAGUUGGGGUGAUCGGGACCUAUGUCGCCUGUUGGGUUGUCUUUUCUUUUGGCGCCGUAGUCGGGCCAUGAGUGUUUGGACGAUGUAUGUUAUUUAUGUACUUUGAUGUGACGUGGCGAGUGUAAGCCAACUAUGUACCUCCCCUUUAUAUUAUUUAUUACAUGGGAUGUGUGAUGAUUUCCUAACUUGCGACAUUGCUUUCAAUGCGGUUAUGCCUCUAAGUCGUGCCUCGACACGUGGGAGAUAUGCCGCAUCGAGGGCGCUACAAGUUGGUAAUCAGAGCCUUCCCCGACCUUAGGAGCCCCCAUUGCUUGAUCAUUUUUAGCAGCCGAGUUGUGUCUAGAAAAAUGUUUUGAGUCCUUUAGGAAUUAUAUAUCGGAGAGCUUAGGAAUUCUUUUACUUCCCAGUCUCCUCAUCGCUCUGGUAAGGCAUCCUGACGUAGAGUUUUGACUCUUCUCGUCUCAAAUUUCACUAAAAAAAUUUUAGGAUCACGCGAGUAUCUUGGAUUUGUUCCGAUGGCUUAUGAUGAGAACACUGUCUUGGUGCCUCCUGUCAGGGGUUUAGUGGAAGUGUCCCGGGGAGUUGAGCUCUGAGGUGUUGUCAUCAUAAUUUUAUCGUUGCAAUUCUGGAAUACUUGAGAUAUGUUCGCGACAUCGAAAAUCUCCUUUAUGCAGUUCGUUGGUGAGAUAACCUCGACGCCACCCAGUACUGGGGCGGGAGUUCGGGAGUAUCGCCAUAACUUGUAUAACGGAUGCUUUUCGAAGGUUGAGGUAGAUGGUUUCUGAAGGUUUCUUGGUUAUGUGUUGAAGGAUGGAUACAGCUGGAUGUAGGAUUUGCUAGUUUGGGUGAGAUAUUAUGCUUCCCCUGUAUCCCCAACACCUGAUUGCAUAACCGGAAAGUUUCGGGAGUUUCAUAGGUGGGAAUUCAAGUAGCUCUUAGGAUAUCUUUUCCGACAGAUGUAUGAUAUGAAAUUGGGGUUCGACGUCUAAUGGUUCGCCUAUUCACGGUAGAUUUUACAGUGGUCUCAUUGUGUCUUAAAGAGUCCUUGGCUAUGCUGACUCGGGGACGCUUCGUAUGUCAUGUGCACUACCUUGUACAUGAUGGUGCUGUACGAUUGAGCCCGUGUAGGUCCCACCACGAAAACUUCAGACGAAAUCUCUAUCAUAUGUUUGUUCCGGCUUAUUUCGCAAGCCAAUCCUUGGUUUUAUUGUGAGUUGUGGUAUUCGAGUUGCUUCCAAGACAUAUGUGGAUUCCAUCCCUUGUUGAUUUACCUCUUCUACCUAAUUCUACGUGGCUUCACAAUUUAGGAAUAUGUGACCACUUCAAGAGAAGUGCAUUCGUUCAUUUUGUUCGGAUGUGAAGACUUUAUGUUGCAAUUUUUUCAUUCAGUUGGAUUCACCUUCAAUAUUUGUCUAUUUGUGUGCUAAUGGUGGUCAACCUCUUCAGGAUGGCUCCUCCAAUGCGCACGACUCCGAACCCUGAUCCGCCACCACCUCCACCUCCUCCGGAGGCUUGGCAAGCUGUGAUGGCCGCAACCAAUGUAAAUACACAGUUGAUCAUGCAAAUCUGCCAAGAGCGCAAUCAAGGCAGUCAAGGGAAUCAAGGCAACAAUCAGAACCAUUUUGCUACUCUGAACCAGUUCCUCGCAAAUGGUCCAAAGACGUUCAGCAAUUGUGUUGAGGCUACCGAUGCCGACGAUUGGCUAGUGGAUCUGGGCAAGCAUUUUGAAUGCAGCAACGUCAGGCCUGAAGAUUUCAUCAAGUUCGCUUCUUUCCAGCUCAAAGAUCAGGCUGCAGAGUGGUUCCAGCAGUACAAGGAUUCCAGAGGUGGACGUUUGAUCACUUGGGAUGAUUUCCGUCGAGAUUUCCGAGCUCAUCACAUCCCUCGGAGUGUGACUGAAAGCAAACGUGAAGAAUUCCGCAAUCUGAAGCAAGGCUCUUUGUCUGUCUAUGACUACAACAAGUUGUUCCAGAAGCUCGCCCGUUUUGCCAAGCAGGAUGUUCCUGAUGAGAAGAGUAUGAUAUACCAGUCAGGGGUGGUCUCCGUGAAGAAAUUCAGCUCGCUCUUGUCCUUUUUGAGCCGUUGAGGUACGAUGAGUUCUACAACAUGGCACUGAAGCAAGAGGCUGCUCAGUUGAGGUGUGAUGCUUCCAGGAAGCGAGUCAGAGACACUACGCCUUCUUCCUCUACUCAAGUGGCCAAGCAGCAGAAGUAUUGGCUUCCUCCUCCUCCAUUCCGUCAGCCAUAUCAGCAGAAGAGCAAAGAUGGCAGUGGUUCUUCCCACCCACCCAACCCAGGCUUUCAGAACAAGACUUCGUCUCAAGCUCCAAGAUUGAGUGCUCCGUACCACCGUCCGCUCUCAGAGGUCACGUGCAACAAGUGCCAACAGAAGGGUCACUACGCCAACAAGUGUUUCAACCAGAGGCGUCUUCCUCCUCCUGCUCCAGUCAGAUCGGCAAGUACAGCUGUGGUCGAGCAUAACCCCAAGUCCGCCAAGGUCAACUUGAUGAACGCAGCUCAGGCAGAGGAUUCGUCAGAUGUCAUCAUGGGUAACCUUCCUGUUAACGAUGUUCCCGCAAAAGUACUUUUUGAUACUUGUGCAUCGCAUUGUUUCUUGUCAUGCCCGUUUGCAUCGAAGCACAAUGUUGAUACUGAGAUUAUGCCCAAAGCCAUGCAAGUUGUUUCUCCGGGCAAGCUUUUGACUUCAAGUUUGGUUGCUCCCAAUAUCUCUAUCACAUUGGGCGAUUACAAGUUUCUCUCUUCUCCGGUGGUUCUUGGUAAUUCGGAUAUCGACCUUAUUCUGGGGAUGGACUGGCUCUCUAAGCACAAGGCUCACCUCGAUUGUGCAGCCAGGCAGAUUCAACUGACUCUUUCGUCUGAGGAUGUCAUUGUCUUUGCCGCUCAUGAUGAUACAAUCCGGUUGUUUUCUCUCAAUGAGAAGGGUGAAUUGGAUGCUAUUUCACAGAUCCCAGUCGUUUGUGAGUAUCAAGACGUCUUCCCAGAAGAACUCCCAGGAAUGCCUCCGCACCGGCCGGUUGAAUUUGUUAUUGAACUUGAGCUCGGUACGGAACCUGUGUGCAAAUGUCCCUACAAGCUCGGCCCUGAAGAGUUGAAGGAGUUGAAGAAACAACUCGAUGUUCAAGAAAGAAUGGGUCUCAUUCGGCCUAGUACUUCUCCGUGGGGUUGUGGUUUUCUUUUUGUGAAGAAGAAGGAUGGAACGGACCGACUUUGUGUUGAUUACCGUCCAUUGAACAAGAAGACCAUCAAGAACAAAUACCCACUUCCCAACAUCAAUGAGCUGUUCGAACAACUAAAGGGUGCCUAGGUAUUCUCCAAGCUUGAUCUCCGUAUGGGUUAUCAUCAGAUCCGCAUUCGUGAGCAAGAUAUUCCCAAGACGGCUUUCAGGACAAGCGAUGGGUCAUAUGAAUACACUGUCAUGUCUUUUGGCCUCGCCAACGCUCCUCCGACGUUCUCUCGCAUGAUGAACUUCAUCUUCAACCCCUACACCAAUGACUUCGUUUUGGUCUAUCUCGACGACAUUCGGGUUUUCUCCAAGAACAAGGAAGAUCAUGCCAAGCACUUGCGUUUGGUUCUUGACAAGCUCAGGGAACAUUAGUUCUACGCCAAGUUCUCCAAGUGUGAAUUUUGGCUCGAUGAGGUGCUUUAUCUUGGUCAUAUCAUCUCUGCCAAGGGCAUUGCCGUGAAUCCUGAGAAGGUGUCUGCAAUUGUUAAUUGGGAACCUCCUCAGAACGUGAAGCAACUCCGUAGCUUCCUCGGUCUCGCAAGCUACUGCCGAAGAUUCGUUGAAAACUUUUCCAAGAUCGUGAAGCCUCUCUCAAAUCUUCUCCAGAAGCACGUCAAGUACGUUUGGUCUCCGAAGUGUGAUAUUGCUUUCAACACUUUGAAAGAGAAGUUGAUCACUGCUCCAGUUCUGACUCCGCCUGAUGAAACCAAGCCGUACGACGUCUUUUGUGAUGCCUCUCUCCAAGGUCUAGGCGUUGUACUCAUGCAAGAGAAGAAACUUGUUGCUUAUACCUCUCGCCAGUUGAAGCCUAAUGAGAAGAACUACCCCACUCAUGAUCUUGAGUUGGCGGUAGUUGUGCAUGCUUUGUUGACUUGGAGACAUCUUCUAUUGGGAAGGAAAGUGGAUAUUUUCACUGAUCACAAGAGUCUCAAGUACAUCUUCACCCAACCUAAUCUCAACCUCAGGCAGACUCGAUGGGUCGAAAUGAUUCAAGAGUAUAAUCCAAGUAUUGAGUAUACUCCAGGCAAGGCCAAUGUGAUUGCUGACGCUUUGAGCAGAAAAGCAUAUUGCAACAGUCUGAUUCUGAAGCCUUUUCAACCCGAGCUUUGUGAAGCUUUCCGCAAACUUAAUCUGCAAAUUUUUCCUCAAGGUUUCCUCGCCAACCUUCAAGUUUCUCCUACCUUGGAAGAACAAAUUCGCCAGGCCCAGCUUCUUGAUGUUAUGGUGAAAAAGGUGAAGAUUGGUAUUGCAAAGAGUCAGUCCAAGUACAGUGCUACCGCCUUGAUGACAAGGACACUCUCUUCUUUGAGGAUCGAAUUGUGGUACCCAAAGGUGACCUCCGUAAAGUGAUCAUGAACGAGGCUCACAAUUCUCUCCUCUCCAUCCACCCUGGGAGCACGAAGAUGUAUCAGGAUCUCAAGCAAACUUAUUGGUGGACUCGAAUGAAGCGCGAGAUCGCUCAAUUCGUGAAUGAAUGUGAUGUCUGCAGAAGAGUGAAGGCAGAACACCAAAGGCCAGCAGGUCUCCUCCAACCUCUUGCCAUUCCAGAAUGGAAGUUUGACCACAUUGAAAUGGACUUCGUGACUGGGUUUCCAAAGUCCAAGCGUGGCAAUGAUGCUAUAUUCGUUGUCAUCGACAAGCUCACCAAAGUGGCUCAUUUUCUGCCUAUCAAAGAGUCGAUCACUGCAGCUCAAUUGGCGGAACUCUAUACCUCUCGAAUUGUCUCUCUGCACGGUAUUCCUCAAGUGAUAUCUUCAGACCAUGGUAGCAUCUUUACCUUCAAGUUUUGGGAUUCUUUUCAGAAGGCCAUGGGCACCAACAUCCGCUUCAGCACUGCUUUCCAUCCUCAAACAAGCGGUCAAGUCGAGCGUGUCAACCAGAUUCUUGAAGAUAUGCUCAGGGCUUGUGUUAUCUCCUUUGGCAUGAAGUGGGAGGAUUGUCUUCCUUAUGCUGAAUUCUCAUACAACAACAGUUUUCAAGCAAGUUCGGGCAAGGCCCCAUUUGAAAUUCACUAUGGUAGGAAGUGUCGUACCCCUCUCAACUGGUCUGAAAUUGGUGAACGUCAGCUGCUGGGUAAUGACCUAAUCACAGAGGCAGAAGAAAUGUGCAAGGUCAUUCGUGAUAACCUCAAAGCAGCCCAAUCCCGCCAGAAGAGCUACUAUGAUAGUAAGCACCAUGAUUUGGCUUUCGAGAUCGGAGAUCAUGUUUACCUCCGCGUGUCUCCUAUGAAAGGGACUCGUCGCUUCGGUAUCAAAGGGAAGCUUGCCCCUAGAUACGUCGGACCUUUCAAGAUUGUCAGCAAGAGAGGCGACCUCGCCUAUCAACUCGAGCUUCCUUCAAACUUUGCAAAUGUUCAUGAUGUGUUCCAUGUCUCCCAACUCCGAAAGUGCUUCAAGACGCCUGAACGCACUAUCAACUUCGAGGACAUUGAGCUCCAAGAAGAUCUCUCCUAUCAUGAGCACCCAGUUGCAAUCCUUGAAGAGACUGAACGCAUGACUCGCAACAAGUCAAUUAAAUUUCUCAAAGUCAAGUGGUCACACCAUUCCGACCGUGAAGCUACCUGGGAACGCGAAGAUCACCUCCGUUCUGAGUACCCGGAGUUCUUUCAGUCCUAGAUCUCGGGACGAGAUCUUUUCGUAGUGGUGGAGUGUUGUAAUGCCCCAGAUAUUACUUUCCCAAUUUGUACUCCAACUCUUUCCGUUUCCCGCGUUAAGUUAUAUUUAUUUCUCGGGUUCGGGUCUUUGUCUCCGUGUGUUGCUUUCGUUUUCAUGCAUCUCAUAUCAUGUCAUCACGUGCAUUGCAUUUGCAUACAUGUUCAUCUCAUGCAUUCGAGGAUUUUCCCCGUUGUCCGUUUUGCAUUCCGGCGCUUCGUUCUCCUCCGGUGGCCAUUUCUAGCUUUCUUUCGUGUGUGGGGAUUAAACAUUUCCGGAUUGGACCGGCACUUGCCAUGCAGCCUUGGUUUACUACCGGUAGACCGCUUGUCAAGUUUCGGGUCAUUUGGACUUCGUUUGAUACUCCAAUGGUUAACCGAGGGACCGAAAAGGCCUCGUGUGUGUUGCAGCCCAACACCCCUCCAAUUUGGCCCAAAACCCACCAAACUCUGCUCCAUGUCCUAGAGCGUUCGAUCACGAUCGCGUCGCCGAAAACCGCACCUCAUUUGGACUCUCCUAGCUCCCUCUAGGCCUAUUUAAAUCCCCCCCCCCGUUUUUUGGAUCUCUUCUCCCCCGCGAAACCCUAAUUUCCCCUCGCGCCGGCCGGACGAAAUCGCCGCCACCACCCUGCGCCAAUCGGAGCCCGCCACAUGGCGCGCCGCCGUCCUCACCGCGCUGGCCGCUCGGCCUGGGGCGAGCCCCCGCGGGCCCAUCUCCGCGCGCCGCCGCCGCGCUCUUCUCCUCCGGCGCCGAUCCGCAGCGCUGCCGCUCCCCUCGCCGGCCGGCACCGCCGCCGCCGCGCCGGACCUUGCCACUAACGCCGCCCGCCGCCGCGACCACGCCCCAACGCCGGCGGAGCUCGCUGCGGGGACCGUCCGGUGCCCACGCCCAUCUCCGGCGAGGCCCCCGGCCCCAUCGCCCGGAGCCCCGGCGCUCUACCCCGCCGGCGACGAGCUCUCCUCCGUCGACCUUCGCGCUGCUACAGUGCCCCGCCGAUCUGCUACAGUGCUCUGCUACAGUGCCCGAAACCCUAGAUCUAGGUUGACUUUCCCUCUUCUCCCCCGUAUUUUGUGCUAAUUUUGACUGUUCAUAUCUCCGCAUCCGUAGCUCCGUUUUGGACAUAUAAUAUAUUAAAAUCUUCGCCUCGACAUGUACAUCAUUUCAUUCCAUUGCAUCAUUUUCAUUUGAGUUCAUCUUGAUGCCCAAAAUGCUGUUAGAAGGAGGCUUCGUGAGUUAAAUUGCAGAUCCGUUAGUUCAUCAUAGACUUUUGUCAUUUUUGCCAUGAUUAUUGUGUCAUGAUAUGCCUGUGAGUCUUUGGGAUGAAUUGUUAAGCAUUUUGUCUUCUUUCUAGAGGUGCCACCCAUGCAUUUUUAGGAUGUGUGUGGGAUAUUUUAGUUCAUGAUGCCAUGUGUCCAGCUUGUUUCCUAGUGAUCCGUGCCUCUUUUGAGGAUGAUCAGUAAGGGAGUUUUGAUAUUCAUGUUAUGCUCUAUCCAUCCAUGUCUUUGUUUGCAUAUGUGGAGUGCUCUAGCUUGAGUCAAUCGAGCUCUACUUUUGCUUCGUGGUAAAUCUGGGCAGAUCGUCAACUUGUUUGCGAUUUUGCCGAUGCUAUUGUUAUUGAUCCAUGCAUGCUAUGCCAUUGUUCUUGCCAUGUAUAGCUAGCAUUUUGUGUCUUCUUUAUGGAUAUAUGCUUGCCUUGCCAUGACUUGCCCCGUAGUGAGUGCAUCGAGCUCGUUUACAUGCCUUCGUGAGUCAUAAUUUCAGCAUGUCUCAAUUUUCACUAAGUCUGAAAACUGAUUGUGCGUGAGCUAUGUUCGUGUGCUCGAUAGAGUAUUUUGUGAACCCUUUUGGCCCCAGGUCACUUUGGGUGUUUUGUUAAGCUUGUUGAGGAUCUCCAUGCCAUGUUCUUACUUGUCAUAAUCAGGUUGUGUAUCAUGUUGUUUUGCUGCACCGAAGAGAGCAUCGUGGUCUGAAAUUUCAGACUAGUGUUAAUUUCACUAAGUCUGAAAUCUGUUUUGCAUUUGCGUUUUUGCCAUGCUUGUUUGAACCUCAUAAUGGAUGAAUUUGGUCGUGGCUCAGUGCUAGUGUUUUGAUAAGCAUCUUGUGUACAUCCCUGCCAUGUAUUUUGUUGUCAUGUUUGGUGGCUGUAGCAUGUUCAUUUCGAUCCAUUUAGGAGCCUACUUGCUGUAAAUCGCAGACCGGUUCAUUUCGUAAAACGCUUGCCAUUUCCAAACCGUAGCUCCGAUUCCUAUGAUCUUUAUAUCGUUUUCAGGUGAUUUCGUCCCCUCUAUCCAGUGGCACACUUGGUUUUCCAAGUUGAGGCCAGGUUCAUGCAUUUCCUGUCACGUCUUGCAUAUUGCAUCCCGCAUCGCAUCCCGCAUAGCAUACCAUCAUUGCAUCUUAUUGCUUGAGUUUGCACGUGGUUGAUUGUAUCCUUGUUGCUUGUUUGUGUUGUUGGGUAGAGCCAGGAGACGAGUUCGCUAACGAGGAGCCCGUUGAGUUCGCUUGUGAGGAUCCAGUCAACUCUGACAACUGUGCAGGCAAGAUGAUCAUACCCUCGAAAUCACUACUAUCUUUGCUAUGCUAGUUUGCUCGCUCUUUUGCUAUGCCAAUGCUACGAUGCCUACCACUUGCUUGUCAGCCUCCCAAUUGCCAUGUUAAACCUCUAACCCACCAUUGUCCUAGCAAACCGUUGAUUGGCUAUGUUACCGCUUGGCUCAGCCCCCUUCUUAUAGCGUUGCUAGUUGCAGGUGAAGAUUAGAGCCGUUCCUUGUUGGAACAUUUAUUUACUUGUUGGGAUAUCAUUAUAUUGCCAUGUUAUCUUAAUGCAUCUAUAUACUUGGUAAAGGGUGGAAGGCUCGGCCUCUCGCCUAGUGUUUUGUUCCACUCUUGCCGCCCUAGUUUCCGUCAUAUCGGUGUUAUGUUCCCGGAUUGUUGCGUCCCUUACGCGGUUGGGCUAUAAUGGGAACCCUUUGAUAGUUCGCCUUGAUUAAAGCUUUUCCAGCAAUGCCCAACAUUGGUUUUACCAUUUGCCACCUAGCCUCUUUUUCCCUUGGGUUUCCGGAGCCCGAGGGUCAUCUUAUUUUAACCCCCCCCCCCCGGGCCAGUGCUCCUCUGAGUGUUGGUCCGACCGAGUAGACUGCGGGGCCACCUCGGGGCAACUUGAGGGUUGGUUUUACUGGUAGGAUGUCUCAUCUGAGUGUGCCCUGAGAACGAGCUAUGUGCAGCUCCUAUCGGGAUUUGUCGGCAUAUUCGGGCGGUGUUGCUGGACUUGUUUUAACCUGUCGAAUCGUCUUAUUGUACCGAGAUACCGAGUCUGAUCGGUGUGUCUUGGGUGGAGGUCUAUUCCUUCGUUGACCGUGAGAGCUUGUUAUGGGCUAAGUUGGGACCCCCUGCAGGGAUUGAUCUUUCGAAAGUCGUGCCCGCGGUUAUGGGAAGAUGGGAAUUUGUUAAUGUCUGGUUGUAGAUAACUUGAACCGUAAUUAAUUAAAACAAAUCAACUAAGUGUGUUGCCGUGAUGGCCUCUUCUCGGCGGAGUCCGGGAAGCGGACACGGUGUUGGAGUUAUGUUUGCGCAGGUUGCUCUCUAGUUUCUCGCCCGUGCUUUGCCUCCUCUUCUCGCUCUCUUUUGCGAAUAAGUUAGCCACCAUAUAUUCUAGUCGCUUGCUGCAGCUCCACUUACAUUACCCCCUUUCCUACCUAUUAACCUUAAAUAGUCUUGAUCGCGAGGGUGCGAGAUUGCUGAGUCCCUGUGGCUCACAGAUUACUAUUACACCAGAUGCAGGGACAGAUGAUACAGCUCCAGAUGGCGCGCUUGAGGUCAAGUGGGAGUACGACGAGGAUUCUCAGCGUUACUAUGUGUCUUUUCCUGAUGAUCAGUAGUGGUGCCCAGUUGGGGUGAUCGGGACCGAUGUCGCUUGUUGGGUUGUCUUUUAUUUUGGCGCCGUAGUGGGGCCAUGAGUGUUUGGACGAUGUAUGUUAUUUAUGUACUUUGAUGUGACGUGGCGAGUGUAAGCCAACUAUGUACCUCCCCUUUAUAUUAUUUAUUACAUGGGAUGUGUGAUGAUUUCCUAACUUGCGACAUUGCUUUCAAUGCGGUUAUGCCUCUAAGUCAUGCCUCUACACGUGGGAGAUAUAGCCGCAUCGAGGGCGUUACACUAAACUCGGGGACGAUCUUCACGGGACCUGUGGAGGCGCGCGCAACCGACGGGCCAGGUCGGUCGCACGGUGUAGCUGAGGUGGUUCGCGGAGGCGGGCGGGUGAUCAAUCCGAUCGCGCACGAGGUCGGGUAUGCCGCCCGGUGGAGGCAGGGUGGCGGCAGAGUCCGAGAUGAAGCCGGCGAUAACGGAUGGCGUGCGGACGAGCGCGUCAGCAUCGGCACCAGGGCCGCCAAAGCAGCACCGGCGCCCAGGCAGCAAGGCCCGAGCAACUAGUGAAGCAACGGCGCCCAAGCUCGAGGCAGCCGACGGGCCUGACACAGUCGGGGACGAGGCCGGUGAGGCAACCCGCGGGGCCGGCGUGCAGACGGCGGAGGCGGGUGGCGUAGAUCGGUUGGCGGGCCGGCACGCGAGCGGCGGCUAUGAUUGGCCGCCGCAUGGGGCAAGGCCGCCGGGUGAAGGCGAUGCAGGUGUCCCGGUCAGAGCAAGGCGGUGACGGCCGGCGCAGGGCAACGGGUGGGCCGGCGCGCAGACGACGCGCGGGGCCGCCGAGUCGGGGCGACCGACGGGCAGACGCGCGGACGACGCGCGAGGCCGCCGGGUCGGUGAAGCAGCUGGCCAAUCGCGCCGGUGUUGGAGUAGAGGCGCACGGGGUCGACGGUAGCGGUGGGCGAUGCAAUCUGGAUCACAUAGACCAGAAAACCGAAAAGGAGACGCCGAUCAAAACGACCGGCGAGACAGAGAAAACCCGGAUCAAAGGAUCGGGGAAAAAAGACUCUCUAGGGCAGCCGGCCAACACGACCGGCGGACGAACCCUAGGUACGGGCGGCGCAGCCCCCAGCGGCGGUCAUGGAGGCCGACCGCCCCGGGGGCGGCGCGCGGGUGCGGAAGCGGUGGCGGCUAGGGUUUAGGAUCGACUUGCGAUAGAUACCAUGUUAGAAAGGAGAGAGGGAUUGGUGUAAUGUCGCGGAAUAUGUUCAAUGUAUUAUUGAGCCUCGAGGGAGAGUAUAUAUUGAGUACAAGACUUGGAGGGCAAGAAGCCUCUCCUGGAGAUAAGGUAGGAGACGGAUUACAAAUCCUAGACUACCAAAUACAAGUAUCCCAAAUAUAUCUCUAACACAUACCUAGACGUAUACUUACAGGAGAAGAGAAGAAUCAAGGUUAGAGGAAGGGGAAGAGAGAGGGGACAAAUCCAGGGGAGGGGAUUCACUCACCGGACAAGAAGAACGACA